rnacentral:lncRNA from 1 species
AUGGAGCAGCUAAUCCUGAAUACCAUUUCCAAGCACAUGAAGGACAAGAAGGUGAUCAGGAGUAGUCAGCRUGGAUUCACAAAGGGGAAGUCGUGCUUAAACAACCUGAAAGCCUUCUGUGAUGGAAUGACUGGAUGGGGAGAUGAGGGGAGAGCAGUGGAUGUUGUCUACCUUGACUUCAGCAAGGCUUUCGACUCUGCCUCCCAGAACAUCCUCAUAGGCAAGCUCAGGAAGUGUGGGCUAGAUGAGUGGACAGUGAAGUGGAUUGAAAACUGGCUGAAAGGCAGAACUCAGAGGGUUGUGACCAGCAACACAAAGUCUAGUUGGAGGCCUGUAGCUAGCGRUGUCCCCCAGGAGUCACUACUGGGUCCAGUAUUGCUCCACUUCUUCAUCAGUGACCUGGAUGAAGGGACAGAGUGCACUCUCAGCAAGUUUGCUGAUGAUACAAAACUGGGAGGAGUGGAGGAUACCCCAGAGGGCUGUGCUGCCAUUCAGAGAGACCUGGACAGGCUGGAGAGGUGGGUGGAGAGGAACCUCAUGAAGUUCAACAAAGGSAAGUGCAGGGUCCUGCACCUGGGGAGGAAUAACCCCAUGCACCAGUACAGGUUGGGGGCUGACCUGCUGGAGAGCAGCUCUGCGGAGAAGGACCUGGGAGUGCUGGUGGACACCAAAUUGACCAUGAGGCAGCARUGUGCCCUUGUGGCCAAGAAGGCCAAUGGUAUCCUGGGGUGCAUGAGGAAGAGUGUUGCCAGCAGGUCGAGGGAGGUGAUCCUCCCCCUCUACUCAGCCCUGGUGAGGCCACACCUGGAGUACUGUGUCCAGUUCUGGGCUCCCCAGUACAAGAGGGAUGUGGCACUACUGGAGCAAGUCCAGCGAAGGGCUACAAAGAUGAUUAGGGGACUGGAGCAUCUCUCUUAUGAGGAAAGGCUGAGAGAGCUGGGCCUGUUCAGCCGGGAGGAGAGAAGGCCGAGGGGAGAUCUUAUCAAUGCAUUUAAAUAUCUGAAGGGAGGGUUCAUCCCUGACCCCUGUACUGUCACUUUGCACAAGCACUGUCCUCUCAUCGAGACUUUGAUUUUUCUCUGA